GCGAACAGAGAGCGAGUUUGUAAGCGAAAAUUUGAUUUGAUUCUGCCAAGGAUUCGCUUAAGCGAACCGCAAGCGAACCGUAAUUGAGCAGAACCCAGACUCACUGUAAGCCGGUCGCUUAAGCGAACUAGACGUCGCUUAAGCGAAGUUGACCUUAGUCAGCCACUUUUUGAACGUUGCCUCGUGCAUUAGGAGACCCUUUUGAGCAUUGAAACAUGGUUCCUUCAACGUGUAUAACCCUUAUAUAUAUGCUAGAUCCUAAUGGAACGUUUUGGUAAUAGAAUUCGUUGAGUUUAGUGAAUUGGGAGGUGAUUGAGUAUGAACCAAGUGAGUAUACACUAUGCUGAAUGAACUUGAUGCAUUGGUCUGACUAUUAUUAAUUGUACAUUUUCUGGAAUGAUUGAAUUGGUUUUGAGGAGUCGUUGUAAUUAUGGAGUCGUAAGUCAUAUAUACAAAUAUGCAUUAGUUGAGUUGUAUGUAGAUAUACACAAGUGGAUUAGUUGCAUAAGCAUAAAAGUGGGAGAGCUUCGGCUCUGGAACGCCUUGUCGUUCAAAGCGGUGG
rnacentral:lncRNA from 1 species